rnacentral:rRNA from 1 species
AUUGAACGCUAGCGGGAGGCUUUACACAUGCAAGUCGAACGAGUGGCGGACGGGUGAGUAAUAUAUCGGAAUGUGCCCAGUAGCGGGGGAUAACUACUCGAAAGAGUGGCUAAUAACGCAUACUAUCGGAACGGCCGAUAUCGGAUUAGCGAGUUGGGGGGGUAAAGGCGCACCAAGGCAACGAUCCGUAGCUGGUUUGAGAGGACGACCAGCCCCACUGGGACUGAUACACGGCCCAGACUCCUACGGGAGGCAGCAGUGGGGAAUUUUGGACAAUGGGGGAAACCCUGAUCCAGCCAUCCCGCGUGUAUGAGAAGGCCUUCGGGUUGUAAAGUACUUUUGGCGGAGAAGCGGUAUCUGCAGAAUAAGCACCGGCUAACUACGUGCCAGCAGCCGCGGUAAUUC